rnacentral:rRNA from 1 species
CCUACGGGAGGCAGCAGUGGGGAAUAUUGGACAAUGGGGGCAACCCUGAUCCAGCCAUGCCGCGUGUGUGAAGAAGGCCCUCGGGUUGUAAAGCACUUUCAGUGAGGAAGAACGCCUGGUGGUUAAUACCCAUCAGGAAAGACAUCACUCACAGAAGAAGCACCGGCUAACUCCGUGCCAGCAGCCGCGGUAAUACGGAGGGUGCGAGCGUUAAUCGGAAUUACUGGGCGUAAAGCGCGCGUAGGUGGCUUGAUAAGCCGGUUGUGAAAGCCCCGGGCUCAACCUGGGAACGGCAUCCGGAACUGUCAAGCUAGAGUGCAGGGGAGGAAGGUAGAAUUCCCGGUGUAGCGGUGAAAUGCGUAGAGAUCGGGAGGAAUACCAGUGGCGAAGGCGGCCUUCUGGACUGACACUGACACUGAGGUGCGAAAGCGUGGGUAGCAAACAGGAUUAGAUACCCGGGUAGUC